UACAUUUUAGUAUAUUAUGUAUAAAAGUUUUUGAUACUUUAGGAAAUAGUUUGAUUAUUAGAUGUAA
rnacentral:tRNA from 1 species